rnacentral:tRNA from 3 species
UGGGGAGUCGUCUAACGGUAGGACAUUGCCCUUUGGAGGCAAGUAUCCUGGUUCGAAUCCAGGCUCCCCAG